GAUGAACGCUGGCGGCGUGCUUAACACAUGCAAGUCGAACGGAAAGGCUCCUGCUUUCAGGGGUACUCGAGUGGCGAACGGGUGAGUAACACGUGGGUGAUCUGCCCUGCACUUCGGGAUAAGCCUGGGAAACUGGGUCUAAUACCGGAUAGGACGAUGGGUUGGAUGCCAUUGUGGAAAGUUUUUCGGUGGGGGAUGAGCUCGCGGCCUAUCAGCUUGUUGGUGGGGUAAUGGCCUACCAAGGCGUCGACGGGUAGCCGGCCUGAGAGGGUGUACGGCCACAUUGGGACUGAGAUACGGCCCAGACUCCUACGGGAGGCAGCAGUGGGGAAUAUUGCACAAUGGGCGCAAGCCUGAUGCAGCGACGCCGCGUGGGGGAUGACGGCCUUCGGGUUGUAAACUCCUUUCGCUAGGGACGAAGCGCAAGUGACGGUACCUGGAGAAGAAGCACCGGCUAACUACGUG
rnacentral:rRNA from 1 species